GUAGUGAUGGCUCAAUGGUUAAGAGCACUGACUGCUCUUCCAGAGGUCCUGAGUUCAAUUCCCAGCAACCACA
rnacentral:tRNA from 1 species